AGGGGGGCGGCCAGCGCAGCCGCCAGACCCUGCCCCCGCGGCUGCCGACGGAGGGACGGUGCUGAGGGACGGUGAAGUGACUCGGGGGUGAAGGACAUGUAUGCGCGGGUGGAGAGAGCCCACGAGCGGCCUGUGGCCUAAGGCUCCAGCCCCGUGGCAAAGGCAGGCCGUGGCGGGUGGCCCGGCCGAGGAGGAACCAACUGACUGGAAGUCUCAAAGGAGCCCCGAGGUGAAUGUGCGCGCUGGGUGCCAGAUGCACAGGAAGCCGUGGUGGGAACGAGCACACAAACGUACCAAGCCGCGCAGGGAUAUACUGUCUCCUCUUGGGACCACAACAUAUGGGCAGAGACACUGCUCAGUUUGCAGUAAGCUUCCGCCUCUGAAUGGCUUGCAGUGCCUGACAGAUCUAAGGGAACUAUUUGACCUCCCUGCAUGUGCCUUUCAGUCAGUCCUCAUCAGUGUGCUGCUGCGGGUAGAACAGACAUGAAAAUUUGAGUAGGACCACUUUAAAGCAGCAUGGGUGCCUUAAUCAGUGCUCGGAAGGGAUGGUAGUUGUCACGUAACGGCUCUACCAGGUGUAGCCUUUGCUCUCCGAGUUGGGGGAGUGGUUCUGCGCCCCAGUGCCCGCUCAAACACUGCGUGGACAAGCUCGGCUUUAACGCUGGCAUGGAGAUUUCCCUGGUAG